UACGUAGGGUGCAAGCGUUAAUCGGAAUUACUGGGCGUAAAGCGUGCGCAGGCGGUUUGGUAAGACAGAUGUGAAAUCCCCGGGCUCAACCUGGGAAUUGCAUUUGUGACUGCCCGACUAGAGUGUGUCAGAGGGGGGGUAGAAUUCCACGUGUAGCAGUGAAAUGCGUAGAGAUGUGGAGGAAUACCGAUGGCGAAGGCAGCCCCC
rnacentral:rRNA from 1 species